rnacentral:rRNA from 1 species
UACGGGGGGAGCAAGCGUUGUUCGGAUUUACUGGGCGUAAAGAGCGCGCAGGCGGUCGUGUAAGUCGAAUGUGAAAGCCCCCGGCUCAACUGGGGAGGGUCAUUCGAUACUGCUCGACUCGAAGGCAGGAGAGGGAAGCGGAAUUCCCGGUGUAGUGGUGAAAUGCGUAGAUAUCGGGAGGAACACCAGUGGCGAAGGCGGCUUUCUGGCCUGUUCUUGACGCUGAGGCGCGAAAGCUAGGGGAGCAAACGGG